AUCCGGGUUGCGGACAGUGUCUGGUGGGUAGUUUGACUGGGGCGGUCUCCUCCUAAAGAGUAACGGAGGAGCACGAAGGUUGGCUAAUCCUGGUCGGACAUCAGGAGGUUAGUGCAAUGGCAUAAGCCAGCUUGACUGCGAGCGUGACGGCGCGAGCAGGUGCGAAAGCAGGUCAUAGUGAUCCGGUGGUUCUGAAUGGAAGGGCCAUCGCUCAACGGAUAAAAGGUACUCCGGGGAUAACAGGCUGAUACCGCCCAAGAGUUCAUAUCGACGGCGGUGUUUGGCACCUCGAUGUCGGCUCAUCACAUCCUGGGGCUGAAGUAGGUCCCAAGGGUAUGGCUGUUCGCCAUUUAAAGUGGUACGCGAGCUGGGUUUAGAACGUCGUGAGACAGUUCGGUCCCUAUCUGCCGUGGGCGCUGGAGAACUGAGGGGGGCUGCUCCUAGUACGAGAGGACCGGAGUGGAC
rnacentral:rRNA from 1 species